GUUGGAAAAAGUAAUGAGAAAUUCAAAAUAUUUUCUAAAAAAAGUACCAUUAGCCAAAACAUCCGUAUCUAUUAACGUAUGCUAUGAAAAAAAUCAGAGCAUUUACUUAUCUACUAAAAAUGUUUUCUGAGAAAAAAAUAUGUGACUAAUUCUCGUAUUUAGUUAUUGACGAAUUAAAAUAAAUCCGUAAAUUCUGGCAAAUACAAAUAUAGUCGUCGUCGGCAAGGGAAUCGUUAAUCAAAAAAAC